CCCUUAGAUGUUCGGGGCCGCACGCGCGCUACACUGAUGCAUUCAACGAGUUUCUUCCUGGUCCGAGAGGAAUGGGUAACCUUUUGAAAGUGCAUCGUGAUAGGGAUAGACUAUUGCAAUUAUUGGUCUUCAACGAGGAAUUCCUAGUAGACGUAGUUCAUCAGACUGCAUCGAUUACGUCCCUGCCCUUUGUACACACCGCCCGUCGCUCCUACCGAUUGAAUGCUCAGGUGAGCCAUUCGGACUUUCAUCAUGCUGGUUUCCAGUUUUGAUGAAGGAAAGUCUUGCGAACCUUAUCAUUUAGAGGAAGGAGAAGUCGUAACA
rnacentral:rRNA from 1 species